rnacentral:rRNA from 1 species
AACGAACGCUGGCGGCAGGUCUUAGGCAUGCAAGUCGAACGGGUGUAGCAAUACAUCAGUGGCGAACGAGUGAGUAACGCGUGGGAAAAUGCCCAUCUCUGGGGCAUAACGUUUGGAAACGAACGCUAAUACCGCAUACGCCCGCAAGGGGAAAGAUUUAUCGGAGAUGGAUGUGCCCGCGUUGGAUUAGCUUGUUGGUGGGGUAACGGCUUACCAAGGCGAUGAUCCAUAGCUGUUCUGAGAGGACGAUCAGCCACGCUGGAACUGAGACACGCUCCAGACUCCUGCGGGAGGCAGCAGCUAAGAAUAUUGGGCAAUGUGGGAAUCCCUGACCCAGCCAUACCGCGUGAAUGAAGAAGGCCUUCGGAUUGUAAAGUUCUUUUAGUCUUGAAGAUGAUGACAGUAGCGACAGAAAAAGCACCGGCUAACUUCGUGCCAGCCGCCGCGGUAA